rnacentral:rRNA from 1 species
AAAGUCCCUUCGGGGGCGAGUACAGUGGCGCACGGGUGAGUAAUACGUGGAUAACCAACCCUCGGGUGGGGGAUAACAGUCCGAAAGGAUUGCUAAUCCCGCAUAAGACCACGGCAGCUGCGGCUGCUGCGGCCAAAGGCGCUUUAUUGUGUCGCCUGAGGACGGGUCCGCGUCCCAUUAGCUUGUUGGCGGGGUAAUGGCCCACCAAGGCGAUGAUGGGUAGCUGGUCUGAGAGGAUGGCCAGCCACACUGGGACUGGAACACGGCCCAGACUCCUACGGGAGGCAGCAGUGAGGAAUAUUGCACAAUGGGCGAAAGCUGAUGCAGCAACGCCGCGUGAGUUAUGAAGGCCCUCGGGUUGUAAAGCUCUGUCGGGUGGGAAGAUGUGGUCCGGCUAACAACCGGAUUGUGACGGUACCAUCAAAGGAAGCACCGGCUAACUCCGUGCCAGCAGCCGCGGUAAUACGGAGGGUGCAAGCGUUGUCCGGAUUUAUUGGGCGUAAAGCACGUGUAGGCGGCUUGGUAUGUCGAGUGUGAAAUCCCGGGGCUUAACCCCCGGAACUGCGCUCGAAACUGCCAAGCUUGAGUUCGGAAGGGGGAGAUGGAAUUUCCGGUGUAGGGGUGAAAUCCGUAGAUAUCGGGAAGAAUACCGGUGGCGAAGGCGAUCUCCUGGUCCGAUACUGACGCUCAGACGUGAAAGCGUGGGUAGCAAACAGAAUUAGAUACUCUGGUAGUCCACGCUGUAAACGAUGAACACUAGGUGUUGGGGGUACCAAUUCCUUCAGUGCCGUAGCUAACGCGUUAAGUGUUCCGCCUGGGAAGUACGGCCGCAAGGCUAAAACUCAAAGGAAUUGACGGGGGCCGCACAAGCGGUGGAGUAUGUGGCUUAAUUCGACGCAACGCGCAGAACCUUACCCAGGCUUGACAUGGAGGGAAUCUGGUGGAAACACCGGAGUGCCUGGUUUACCAGGAGCCCUCACACAGGUGCUGCAUGGCUGUCGUCAGCUCGUGUCGUGAGAUGUUGGGUUAAGUCCCGCAACGAGCGCAACCCUCGCUAGUAGUUGCCAUCAUUCAGUUGGGCACUCUACUGGGACUGCCGGUGUUAAACCGGAGGAAGGUGGGGAUGACGUCAAGUCCUCAUGGCCUUUAUGCCUGGGGCUACACACGUACUACAAUGGCCGGUACAGAGGGCAGCCAGCCAGUGAUGGUGAGCCAAUCCCAAAAAACCGGCCCCAGUUCAGAUUGCAGUCUGCAACUCGACUGCAUGAAGGCGGAAUCGCUAGUAAUCGCCGAUCAGCACGCGGCGGUGAAUACGUUCCCGGGCC